UUCUUAUUGGAUUAUGAUUGUCACAUGUCAUGUUCUGAUUGAAUGUCAACUCCAUAAAAGAUGAAAUGAAUUGUUGUUUUCAUUGACCAAUGAGAACAUGACGCGUGAUCCAAUAAUAACGUGACACGUGACGGUCAACAUCA
rnacentral:pre_miRNA from 1 species